UACGAAGGGAGCUAGCGUUGUUCGGAAUCACUGGGCGUAAAGCGCACGUAGGCGGGCGAUUAAGUCAGGGGUGAAUCCCGGAGCUCAACUCCGGAACUGCCUUUGAUACUGGUCGUCUAGAGAUCGGAAGAGGUGAGUGGAAUUCCCAGUGUAGAGGUGAAAUUCGUAGAUAUUGGGAAGAACACCAGUGGCGAAGGCGGCUCACUGGUCCGAUACUGACGCUGAGGUGCGAAAGCGUGGGAGCAACAGG
rnacentral:rRNA from 1 species